CCCGGUCACGUGAGCGUUCCGCGGAGGAUGCGUCAUCUCACGUGACCGCCCCGCAAAAUGGCCGCCGCGGGCCGCUGCCCCGCAGGGCCAUCCGGUCACACAACCGUACCUGCCUCGCUUGCUUGGGAAGGCUCGGUCCCUAUCAUAAGUUUCAGGUGGGCCUUGAGACCUCCCAGGGCAGAAGAAACAUCCAGUGCACAUCAGGGAGGAACAGCAGAAGCCAAAAAUAGCAUUCAUUGAGGCAGGACGUUUCCAGUGACUAAAGCCAGAAGCAGACACCAUCUUGUAAGGACACUCAAGUAGUCGUCCUCUGAAGAAACCCAUGUGUCACAGAAUCAAGCAAGUCCUUCAGCCUUAUGAAUGCGCCACUUUGGAAGCACAUGCUCCAGCCCCAGUCAAGCCUUCAGGUGACAGAUGUCCCCACCAACAUCCUGAUGGCACCCUCAUGAGAGAUCCUAAGCCAGAACCACCCAGCUAAGCCACUCAUGGAUUUCUUCCAAUCCUCGGAAAUUGUGUGAGAUAAUAAAUGUUUAUUGUUGCUUUAAGCUGCUAAGUUUGGGGACAAUUUGUUACACAGCAACAGAUAACUAAUACACCUAGGAUAAUUAUGGCAUAUGUACACAUGAGGAAAUCAGAGCCCAGAAAGGGAGAUAGAUUUGCCAAAGUUGUACACUUCUCAUGGGUGCUCGAGGUCUCCAGCUUGACAGCUGUGGCAUUUGAACGUGGCUUUCUUACUCAGCCCCACUCACAGGCCUCAGCCUCCUGUCCCUCAGCCCAUCCUCUACAUGGACUUAGAAAGAUCUUGCUAGACUCAGAGCUGACCCUAGCCCUGCCUUGCUCAGUGCCCUCCUAUGGCUCACUGGUAAUAAUAAAUCUCUUACCCAGUAUCAUAAGUAGAGUGUGCUCUUUAUUGUAUAUUCAAAGAGAAAAGAGAUAAAAUGGUAUUUUGACUCUUCUAACAAAUAAAAAUACAGUGUACAGAUAUUUUAGAGUUAUAGAUCCCUUGCAAGAUGUAAGUUAUAGGUGGUGGCAUCUGGAUUUGGCUUAGCCAGGUCAUCUGCUCCACAUGCUCUAACAAGGCUAUAAAAAAGGUGUGUUGGCUGGGUUCUGGUCUCAUUUGAAGGCUCAACUGGGGAAGGAUGCAUUUCUAAGCACACUUAUGUAGUUGUUGGGAAGAUUCAGUUCCUUGAGAGAUGUUGGAAUGAUGGCCUCAGCUCCUUGCUGGCUGUUGGCCACAGACUAUCCUCAGUUCUUUGCUAUGGGACCUCUUCACAGGGCAGCUCACAACCUGGCAGCUGGCUUCAUCAAAGUGAGCAAGCAGGACUGAAGUCACAGUCUAUUAUAACCUAGUCUUGGAAGGGACAUAUCAUCACUUUUGCCAUUAGCAGCAGGUCACUAGAUCCAGCACACUCAACAGGAGAAUACAAAAGGAUGUGAAUACCAGGAGAUGAAAGUCACUGAGAGCCAUUUUAGAAACUGAUUACCACGCCAGGUAAGGAAGAACCCUUUGCACACUGAGGAAGGGCAACAAAAGAGAUAAAUAACUGAUGUUGUGGACACUAAGUUAUUCAGGGGCAGAGGGCCCUGGUGGCUGACCUAGGAAAGUUUCUGGGGUAGCGGACAAUGGGUAGGAUUUAGGGGUUCCAGUUCUGCUUAGACUUCUUAAAAAUGAAUCCAUCUUUCACAUUGUAAAACUUCUGAGACCUGUUUAUCUGGUUAGCUAUUGCCGUGUAGGAAAUCAGCCUAGAACUGAAACAACAGUCGUUUUAUUGGCUUAAAACAAAAGUCAUUUUAUUAUAUUCCAUAGGCCUGUGGGUAAUGACAUUGGAAAAAAUUUAGUUGGGGUCCAAUUGGGACCUGAUCAAACAUCUCUCUAUUUUCUUGGAGCCUCACGACUUUCCAUAUGGUUUCCUUGUGUGGGCUAGUUUGGGCUUCCUCACAGUUUGGUGGCUUCAGGGCAGCUGAACUCCUUGCAUGAUGGCUGAAGAUUUCAGGAGUAUUUUAGCUAACAAGUAAUUGCACUGCCUUUCCUGACCUAACCUCAGAAGUUAUGCAGCAUCACUUCUAGUGUGUUACAAUGGCUACAAGUGAGUCAUGAGCCCACUCAGUUUCAAAGAAAGGGGAAUUAGACUCUUCAUCUUAAUGGGGGAAAUGAGAGGAGACAGGAGAUCUCUUUGGAAAAUAUAAGGUGGCACACCAGUUCAGCUGCUUUAGCAAAGGCUAAUAGAACAGUGGCUUGCUUAAGCAACAAAGAAGUUUAUUUCCCUUUCAUGUAGCAGUCCAAGAGUAUGCAAUCCCAAGAGAUAUUAACAGUGAGUAAAGUUCCACAGUGUUUGUUAAUUUUAUGUGUGCAGAUAUUUGGCCUAACAUUAUUCUGGGUAUUUCUGGGAGGGUGUUUUCAGUCCAGAUUAACAUUUUUGUUUUAUUUUU